rnacentral:lncRNA from 1 species
GGCAAAGAAGUCGUACCCGACGAGUAGUGAUCGGGGCGCUUAGAAAGCUUUUAGUUUGUACAAACGGUGAGUAAACUUAUUAUUAUUGUAAAUUAUCUAGAGUUUAUUUUAAAUGCCCUUUAUGUAUUUUAUGAAAUGAGAACGAGAUUAAAACGGGAUUUUUGAUGUUUUAGGAAUAAAUGUGACAAAUAAAAAUAUAUUGUAUUGAUUAUGAAAUUGAGUAAUUGGAGGCUACAAAUUGACUUGAAAAAUAUAUAUUUUCCUAGGAAUGGCUUAUGAGAAAUGAGUAUAUGUGGCUAUAUUUUGUGAAUGCAUUGGGAAAUUUAUGUAAGUUGUUUUACUAUGCAGGCUGGAUAAAUAAAUAAAAGCCACGUUAUACUGUCGAAAUUUUAUUAAAAUUGGUGGGUUAGUCACUGCAGUGACGGGUUUCCGUGGACUGCCUAUUAGAGGGGCACGGUAAACCCAGUUAUAUAGUUACUCCGGUUGUAGAGACGAGGAGGGUAACUCCUGGGGUAGUAUUAGAGCUCACUUCACGUCGAACCCCCACGUGAAUGUGUAACUCGGCCAACGCCAAGGAACGGCUGGUUUUUAAAAAUAAAAAUAUGUUUCACGUGUGAAUAUUUUAACACCCUUGACGGACUCGGUUAGAUGCCUCGGCCAAGGUAUCCCCGAGGAUUAGUUUUGGCUUGAGCCUUGUUUUAAUAAAAGAUAUAAGCCUUAACAAUUGUUUUGGUAAAUUACAAAUAUUUUAUGGUUUAAGAAAUAAAUUGAAAACAUUAUGAAAUGGGUUGAAAUUUAUUGUUUAAACUUGCCUCCAUUUUACUCGCCUUUAGAUAUUUAUGAUAAUGUCUGUUUACUCAUUGGGAUUGGAAAAUCUCACCCAACUUCUUUCCACCCAUUUCAGGUUUAGUAUAGACUGUAUAUAGCUGAUCUCAUCGAGGACUACCAUUGGAUCUGCAUUUUCCAAACCGUAGGUUCACAGUUCUCUUUACUUUUGUUUAUUCGGGGGCCCUCUUGUUAUUGUAAAUUAAAUUAACUAUUUU